GCUCUCUGUGGCCGCUCCAUUGCUCUCUGUGCUUUUUCCACAUUAAGGCAGUGAAAGUAACUGCCUCUGCAAAGCAGUGCAGAGACACAAGUGGGGCACUUCAUUAGGCUGGACUAGUGACACUCUUAAAUAUUCAGGAGAGCUGAAGCGCCGGGGUCAAUCCUACACAGAGGCUCCAUCACAGCAGCUCCUCUUCCUUGACGUAGAGGAUCUCGUGAGCCGAGCUGGGGACCUGACGGAGGCACAAAUGAGGAAGAAGAGGAUGAAGAUAUUUGCCGCUGACGCGCCCAGCUCCUGUCAACAGCUCAGGACGACGUCAAAGUCACUGAUUACUCAAAAUUGAGGCUCACAGUCAGGGAGGAGACAAAACAUUCACGAACAAUGUUUUCAUUUUGAAUAUUUUAAAUUAAAUGUAUUAGUCUUGAUUAUUAGGUAAAUUGCUGAACUCUAUUGUCAUAACACUGCAGUUAAUCCCUGGACAGUAAAUAUAAAUGCACAAAUACAUCAAUAAAUGCAGAAAAUAGGACCUUUGGCAUAAAAUGUGCUUCUUUUCUUUGUGAUUAUGUUUUGUGUACUUGUGCUUUCUCAGUGUCACGUCACAUUUAUGACUCUGCUCUGCAGCAUCACUGGGGGAGUGAAGGAGUGGGGGAUAGAAGCCAGUAAUGAUCAUGAAAUGUCAUAAUUUGUAUUAAAAACCUGCAGUAAAGAAACUUCCACGGUGCAGAAAUGCUAAGGAGUCCCUGCUGUUAUGGUUGAAAUGAAAUGGAACUAUUUUAUUUUGAAUAAAGCGGCGAUGAGACAAGAAAAAGAAAAGAGUUUUUACUUUAAGAAAUCUAACAGGAAGAAAAGGAAAACCAAUUAGUUGUUUGAUCGAUGAACAAAGAUAAAAACGAAGAAAAAACAAACAAACUUUCUUUAUGAGGCCAAUUCAUUAUUUGUCUUUUGUUGUUUUCUUCCUCUGGACUCUUCCGCUUUACUGAGGAGCUGAGAUACCUCAAUGUCGGGAUCGUUGCCUCAACGCUGCUG